rnacentral:rRNA from 1 species
GAUUACGGCCAUAUCAUCCUGAGAACACCCGACGCUGAGAGCUCAUCUCGGAAGCCGAGCGUUGCCAGGCCUUCUUAGUACUUGGAUGGAAGACUGCCUAGGAACACCAGCUGCUGUAAGCU